CCAAAGGUGCCUAAAUGAGCCUAAGGUUCCUAAUGGGCCUAGGAUGCCUAAGUGGGCCUAAGAUGUCUAAGUGGACCUAGGGUGUCUAAAUGGGCCUAAGAAGCCUAAGUGGGUCUAGGGUGGUGCCUAAUGGGCCUAGGGUGCCCAAAUGGGCCUAAGAUGCCUAAGUGGGUCUAAGAUGUCUAAGUGGGCCUAAGGUGGUGCCUAAUGGGCUAAGUGUGCCUAAAUUGGCCUAUGGUGCCUAAAUGGGCCUAGGAUGCCUAAAUGGGCCUAGGGUGCCUAAAUGGGCCUAGGGUGCCUAAAUGGGCUUAGGAUGCCUAAGUCGGCCUAAUGUGCCUAAAUGGGCUUAGAGUGCCUAAAUGGGCCUAAGGUGCUUAAAUGAGCCUAGGGUGGUGCCUAAAUGGGCCUAUGGUCUAAAUAGGGCUCCCA
rnacentral:lncRNA from 1 species